CGAACUGCCGUUGACAAAACGGAGGAAGGUGGGGGAUGACGUCAAAUCAUCAUGCCCCUUAUGUUCUGGGCUACACACGUGCUACAAUGGCCGGUACAGACGGACGCAAAGCCGCGAGGUGGAGCAAAUCCUAAAAAGCCGGUCUCAGUUCGGAUUGCAGGCUGCAAUUCGCCUGCAUGAAGUCGGAAUCGCUAGUAAUCGCAGGUCAGCAUACUGCGGUCGAAUACGUUCCGGGCCUU
rnacentral:rRNA from 1 species